rnacentral:tRNA from 1 species
GCCAGUUUGGCUCAGUGGAUAGAGCAUUGGCCUGCGGACCGAAGGGUCGCCAGUUCGAUUCCGGUCAAUGGCA